CGGACGGCUGAGUAACGCGUGGGUGACCUGCCCCGAAGUGGGGAAUAACUGCCCGAAAGGGUGGCUAAUACCGCAUGUGGUGGUGCAUUCAUUUGCACCAGUAAAGCCGCAAGGCGCUUCGGGAGGGGCCUGCGUCCGAUUAGCUCGUUGGUGGGGUAACGGCUCACCAAGGCGACGAUCGGUAGGUGGUCUGAGAGGACGAUCACCCAGACUGGGACUGAGACACGGCCCAG
rnacentral:rRNA from 1 species